rnacentral:lncRNA from 1 species
GUGCAACAUUCCAGUUUGACAAGUUGUCAUUUCCCAAUUACAGACUAAUCUGAGUGCAUGGUUCCUUUCAUCCAUCUGUAGGUAAACACAACGACGUCUAGGGGAUCCAUAGAAGGCAGCCUCUUACACACAUUGAUGUCCUGGCUCAAAUGCACGACCGAGACUGCAGCAUCUCUUGGGGAUGCUGGGAAUGCUGGGUAGGCCUGUGUUCCUUCAGGCAGACAGCCAAGACCUCACCGACUCUGUUCCACCAGUUCUUUGCUGCCUGGUCUCUUCCCUGGGCAGCACCAUCAGCAAAAGCUGGAGGCUUUGUGUGAGCAGAGAGUGAAAAGGCAUCUGAGUAUGACCAAACUCCAACGGACUGGGGAGAUUCCUGGAGCAGAGGUUUGCCUUCAAGCAAGGAGAACUGUGUGAUGUGUAAGUCUUCUGGCUCUGCAAGCAGCUCGCCAAGAAAUUGUCCUUGUGGUGUACAGAUAGGCCCAUUCAUUAUGCCCCUUGGAAGUAAAGGAUCAGGAUGGGAGCAGUGUUGCAGCUCCAGUACUUAUCGGUCAUGGUUGUGCCCACAGAGCCUGCUUGGUGCAUCUGCUUCUCCUUGGGGGCAAGACAUUACCCCAGUGCCAUUCUCUGAUGUGUAAGUCUUCCCCCAUCUUUCCCUAGCUGAUGAGUAAUGGCCUUAAGUUGUGCCAGGGGAGUUUCAAGUUGAAUAUUAAGAAACAUUUCUUCUCAGAAGGAGCGGUGAGGGACUGGCACAGCUGUCCCCGGAGGUGGUGGGGUCACUGAUCAUGGGGAUGUUCUAUAGCCAUGGAGAUGUGGCACUGAGGGACAUGGGUUCAUUGCUUUCAGCAAGCUCUGUUCUUGCCUUUCAGUGGGACCAUUACCACAGUGCAACCUGUCCUUGCUUUGAGCUGCUCUGCCCCACUGAGCGAUCUGGUUCAGCUCAGAGCUUGGGCUUCUCCACUUUUAUUUCCCUGCUCUGUCUCCUUUCCUAUCUCUGGGAGCUUUGAAUUUCUACCCCUGCCUCACAGCUUGGGUAAUUCCCUGCAAAGGGAUUACAUUUUCAGCGUGUUCACAGCUGUAUGUUUGCUCGGAGCAAGUGCCUCCUGUGACUGCCCAAUUGUGGAGUUUCACUCGAGUGGAACAAGUAAUAAGAGAAAUAUGCAGCUCUCCCUGCCUUCAUUGAGCUUCUUAGGUGGCCAGGAGCAAACAGCGUGCCUCCCUCCUGCAAAGCACUUAACUGGGACCUGGGGCUGUGGGAUUGGAGCUAGGCUGCCAUGCAGAACAGCUCCCGCUGAACUCCAAAGAGAAGCAGCUCCUGAGAUAAAAGCUUUCAGACCCGAAGCCAUGGCCAUGGAAAGGCAGUUUGAAGGAACCUUGAAAAUGAAGUUAUCAUCACCGCUUGCCCUACUGGGACCACUCCAGAUGAUAGCCCAAUGGGUGCAACCUGCUCGAGGUGACACAUAGUCUUGCUUCAAACCCCUGAGUUUAACUGGAACAUUGGCAGAAUAAUGUGAGUCCAUGGAAAUCAAUGGAGAAGAGCCGAAAACAAUUGAUUUGGAUCAAAACACACUGCAAUCAAAUUUGGAGGGAUUGAACUAAUGGAUCAUAAGGUGGCUUGUGAAUGGGUUUGACUGAAUUGAGCUGAAAGGUCUUGCAUCUUCAUUACAGCUAACUGAAACUAGUAUAAAUGAUGAAUUUUCUAACAAUGCUUAGUGGUUUGUUUUUUUUUCUGUACUUGCAACUGGAUUGCAAAGUUGGGAACUAACCUGUAUAUACAGGGGAAUUUGCCAGUCACAGGUAGCUGCAUGUAUUUUGGACAGCCCCGUAGCUGAGUUUCAUACGUCUUGCUGAUUAUGCCUCUAUUUUGCCCUGCUUGGCACUCCCAGAAUUAGCAGCCUGUUUCUCCUGCUUUAUUAUGGCUGAGGUCUCGGAGGAGAGACUGCACUUGGGCUGUGCACUUUCCAAGGUGCAUUUAUUGCUGCAUUUCUUGUUUUGAUGGCAGCAUUUUGGAGCAUCACCUCUUACUCUACCAAAUCCUUGAAAUUCUUUGCCAUUUGUAUUACUCGAAUGUAAUUCCCCUCUAUAUCACAG